rnacentral:rRNA from 1 species
AACGCGAAGAACCUUACCUGGGCUCGAACGGCUUAAGACCAUCCUUGGAAACAGGGACUUCCCGCAAGGGACUUGAGUCGAGGUGCUGCAUGGCUGUCGUCAGCUCGUGUCGUGAGAUGUUGGGUUAAGUCCCGCAACGAGCGCAACCCUUGUCCUGUGUUGCCACUCCGUAAGGAAGCACUCGCAGGAGACCGCCAGGGAUAACCUGGAGGAAGGUGGGGAUGAUGUCAAGUCAUCAUGGCCUUUAUGUCCAGGGCUACACACGUGCUACAAUGGACGGUACAAAGCGCUGCAAACCCGCGAGGGGGAGCUAAUCGCAAAAAGCCGUUCUCAGUUCGGAUCGCAGGCUGCAACUCGCCUGCGUGAAGCUGGAAUCGCUAGUAAUGGCGUAUCAGAACGAUGCCGUGAAUACGUUCCCGGGCCUUGUA